rnacentral:rRNA from 1 species
AGAACGAACGCUGGCGGCAGGCUUAACACAUGCAAGUCGAGCGAGGACUUCGGUCCUAGCGGCGGACGGGUGAGUAACGCGUGGGAACGUGCCCUUUUCUUCGGAAUAGCCCUGGGAAACCGGGAGUAAUGCCGGAUACGCCCGAUCAUAGCGAUAUGGUUGGGGAAAGAUUUAUCGGGGAAGGAUCGGCCCGCGUUGGAUUAGGUAGUUGGUGGGGUAACGGCCUACCAAGCCGACGAUCCAUAGCUGGUUUGAGAGGAUGAUCAGCCACACUGGGACUGAGACACGGCCCAGACUCCUACGGGAGGCAGCAGUGGGGAAUCUUGGACAAUGGGGGCAACCCUGAUCCAGCCAUGCCGCGUGAGCGAUGAAGGCCUUAGGGUUGUAAAGCUCUUUCAGCGGGGAAGAUAAUGACGGUACCCGCAGAAGAAGCCCCGGCUAACUCCGUGCCAGCAGCCGC